ACAUUUCCUAAUAAUUUAUAAUAGGUAAAACCUGCUCAAUGAAUGAAUUCAAUAGCCGCAAUUUACUUGUGCUAAGGUAGCAUAAUCAUUUGUUUUUUAAUUAAAAACUAGAAUGAAAGGUUAAACAUUUAAAUUUCUUUAUUAAAUUGUAUUCUUUAACUUAUAUUAAGUAUAAAAAUAUAUUUUUAAAAAAAAAAGACGACAAGACCCUAUUAAACUUAACUUAUGUUAAACUGGGGCAGUUUUCUAAUAAAAAUUUUAGUACUAUUAUUUUAAUAGAUGAAAAUCUAAUAAUAUUAAAUAAACAAGUUACUAUAGGGAUAACAGCGUUAUACUUUUUAAAAGUUCAUAUUUAAAACAGUGAUUGCGACCUCGAUGUUGAAUUAUAUUUCUAUAAUAAAGCAAACAUUUUAUAAGUAGGUCUGUUCGACCUUUAAAAUAUUACAUGA
rnacentral:rRNA from 1 species